UAUAACCUUUAAACGCCGGUUCCCGUAUGAUCACUGAAGUUAAGCAACGUCGAGAUUGGUCAGUGCCUAGAUGGGGUAAAGCUUGUGAAUACCAGGUGCUGUAA
rnacentral:rRNA from 1 species